GACGAACGCUGGCGGCGUGCUUAAUACAUGCAAGUCGAACGGAAAGGCGCUGCUCUUGUGGGGUGCUCGAGUGGCGAACGGGUGAGUAACACGCGAGUAACCUGCCCUUGACUUUGGGAUAUCUCUAGGAAACUGGGGCUAAUAUCGGAUAGGAGCUCUUGCUGCGCGGGGGGGGUUGGAAAGAUUCGGCGGUGGGGGAUGGUCUAGCUGCUUAUCAGCCUGAUGGUGGGGUUGUGGCUUACCAAGGUUAUGACGGGUAGCCGGCCUGGGAGGGUGAACGGCCACAUUGGGACUGCGGUAGGCCGCAGACUCCUAUGUGACGCAGCAGUGGGGAAUCUUACGCAAUGGGCGCGAGCCUGAUGCGACAGCGCCGCGUGCGUGAUAACGUCCUUCGGGUUGUAAACCGCUUUCGACGGUGACGAAGCGUGAGUGACGGUAAUGGGUAAAGAAGCACCGGCUAACUACGUG
rnacentral:rRNA from 1 species